GUGCAUUUCAUACAGGGCUGUGGGCGCCCGGCGCUCUUAUGCUUGAUUUUCUGAAAAACUGCUUCGUCGGGAUGAAUCAGCAGCGCCGGCUUCACACACACACAAAAAAGCGCGACCGCUGUAGCAGUAGGAUGAAUCACAGAAUAACUGACUGAAAGAUGCACGGUGAUCGAAAGCAGUCAAAGUGAAAGACCAACAAUGACAACAGCAACACUAAAAGGAAAGACAGACUGGGACAGGGUCCCGAGUAAGUCACGCUGUCUAUGUUUCAAGGGAUGGUAUUUUGUACAACAGCCACAAAAAUAAGCUAAAGGAAUAAUUCCCCCCCACCUCCAGAUUUUUAGAGUUUUUCAGAUUUGAGAACUGAAUUCCAAGGGUUUUGGUCCAUAAGCAGCCCAUGGGACUUAGUUCUUAAAUCUGGAUGCUCCCCCCCCCCCCCCCUUGUAGGCUUCGGAGAUGGAGAGAUACAUCACACAUCUGAGGAGAGCAGAAAGAGACAGUAUUUAGCUUUGCCAGUGGAUCUGUGCCCUAAGAAAUCGCUUAAAAACUCAUCGUCGCAUUAUAUUGACAAAGGUUAUGUGUCCCGACACCGUUACACAUGUGAUAUUUUCAUCAGCUUUCCAGGCAAAUCAACCCCAACUAGAAGAUGCUUCUUUUUCGAGCUGAACUCAGGUCAUAAGCCCCAUUAGCACAGCGGUGACUGUCGACUCACUUCCUCCGAUUAAUCUCAAGACUGCGCUGCAGCGACGAGAAGAUAUAAACCUACAUUCAUCUAAUAACAAAAGUCUCCCUCACUGAGAAACACUGACCUCAUGCCCGGCUUUAUAAAUAGGAUGAUGGGAAAGAUCAUGAGCAGAAAUGUGAUCAGUAUCUCAUAAUCAAAUUAACUCCAUCCCGGGUUUCUCUGGGAAAUUUUACAUAUUGGCAAAGCCUACCUCACAAUACACACAAAACCAUCAGAACACAAGCAAAUCCAUUUUAAAUGUUUUAAUUGUUAAAAACAGGGAAGGUUUUAAAUGUUUAAGGUAAAAUUUAUGUAUAAAUGAUAUAAUUUAUACCAUAUUUAGCAGUUUCCAUUUUCAUCAAGAAACACGUGCUAAGCUGGUCUGUGUUUGUGUUUCAUUUCUGCAAAUACAGCAAUAAACCAACUAUUAUCUCAUUUCCAGUAAAAUAAUUGGAAGCUUGUUUAUAUUUGAGCUCAUGUACAUACGCUUUCUUGACGCUGGUCGCAGUAGGUGACUCACUCCACUGAACGAAAAUGCCGAGCUCCCAAAAGGAACGCUGCAGUCACGUUUCGACCAGGAAAUGUGGGAACAUUUUGUGCGUUGAAUAAAGUCUUCAGUUACCUCUGUUUUGCUACACAUCACUUAAAAUAUAUCGCCUUACACCAUGUUUAGAUGGAUUAUUUAUUAGCUACAUGACCAGGGCUGGUGGAAUUUGAUCUUAGUACAGUAUAUUACACUCUACAGUACAUACAUCAAGCAUAGCAGACACUCGACAUGUUAUCAGCAAUAAACAGAGGUAGGCCAGAGAUUAUUUUUGCGAUGGGGUUGAUUGACUUCCCAGCGGGGAUGCUCAGAAAUGUAGGGUAGGGUUUCCCCUUGAUGUACCGAUCUCCGUGGUUUAAUUUCUUUUGCAAUGCACACAUAUGUGCUUUUUAUUAAUGCAUUUAUUUUUCAAAGUAUAAACUGAGCUAUUCACUUGUGGGAGUUUUACUGACCCAAAAAUGUCCUGAGGGCAUAAGAACGCUAACGUCUACAAUCAGAUUGUAGAGGAAGCGGGCCCAAGCAACUAGAGGAGGCGGGACCUACUGCUCUUCAAUAUUAUCAAUAGGAUUCAAUAUGAUUGGAUCAGAGGUAACCAAUCAGAUUGUAGAGGAGGCGUGCCCAAGCAACUAGAGGAGGCGGGUCCUACUUCUUUUCAAAAUGAUCAAUAGGAUUCAAUAUGAUUGGACCAGAGAGAUAACCAAUCAUUUUUCGUUCUGCCCUCAGAACAUUUUUGUGUAAGUAAAACUCCCCUGAGCGUAGUAUUCCCACAUAAAAAUAUAUAUAUAUCCAAAUAAACCGCAGAAAUUUCUUGGGGGUACUAAGGGGGUGCAAUGACGAUCAUAGGGGUAGCUACUGCACCCCCAAGCCCCUUCCUGGCCCCACCCCUGGCAAUACACAGUUAUAAUGAAUACAAUGAUACAGUAUGAUACAAAACAGUACAAUACAACACACUGCAGUACAGCAAACACAAUACAAUGAGACACAACAGCAUGCAUUAGAUAAAUAGUGAAUAGUAAACAAUGUUUAGUGUUUGCAGGCAGUAACCUGUAGCACCUUCCAGAGGGAAGGAACUGAAAGAGAUUGUGAGCAAGAUAUGUGCAGUCGGAGAUUAUCUUUGCUCUUCAACGUCCGGUGAAUAUGCAGCGAUUCAAGAGGGUAGUGGGUUGCCUAUGAUUUUGGAUGCCUUACUCACGAUCCGCUGCGGUGGUUUCCGUGUUUGACUGUCCGGGCUGCUGUACCAUACUGUAAUAGGAGAGAGUAGAGAUGGAGUGAGUAACAGCCGAGUAGAACAGAACGAGAAGUUGCUUGAGGAAGCAAAGUCGUUGUUGAGCUUUUGCAAUUAUGUCUCCGUUGUAGCUUUUCCGCUCCAAGUCAUUGCCGAUGCUUGUUCCGAGGAAUUUAAAAGAGUCGCACCAUUCUUAUAUAUUACCAAAUAUUAUCAGCCCGACACUUUUUAGUUUGUCUGAAGUUGCCAUUGAGCUGGGAUAAUCACAGCCCACGUUUUGCUGAGAUGCUGGCUCACAACAGUCCUUAUUCUGGAUGAAAGAUUGCUCACCAUAACAUAACAUGGCUGCCUGGUAAGUGCUGAGUAUUACAGCCACCCAAUAUUGAUUUUUACAGAACUUAAAAGGCCAAGGAUGUGACGGUGACUCAGUGGGUAGCAUUUUAUCUUCACACCUUCGAGGCUGGGGGAGUGAAUUCUGCCUUCAGUUAGCAGCUAGCCUAACUGGUGUUCUAGGGUGUACUAUGGUGCAACUACGGCAUGCUCACACUAGGAGAUCCAUACCCUGCCAGAGCAUGUUUCACCCCCCAAAAUCCAGUUUGUUAGACUGGUGUGUUUGCUUGGUACAGUAAGCAUCCAGUGUGAUCAUUCUGUACAGUAGGCAUCCAGUGUGAUCAUUCUGUUCAGUAGGCAUCCAGUGUGAUCACUCUGUACAGUAGGCAUCCAGUGUGAUCGCUCUGUACAGUAUGCAUCCAGUGUGAUCGCUCUGUACAGUAUGCAUCCAGUGUGAUCGCUCUGUACAGUAGGCAUCCAGUGUGAUUGCUCUGUACAGUAUGCAUCCAGUGUGAUCGCUCUGUACAGUAUGCAUCCAGUGUGAUCGCUCUGUACAGUAGGCAUCCAGUGUGAUCGCUCUGUACAGUAUGCAUCCAGUGUGAUCGCUAACUGUGCCUGAACACGAGACUCAGGCACGACUUCAAUGGUGCACCUGGCCUUUCAAAAAACAUGGUGGCAAAGGGAUCACUUUGGUCUAUGGCAGAGGUGCAGUGUUUGCUGGAAAUUUGGGCUGCAGAGAGUAUCCAGGUAAAACUGGAUGCAACAAACAAAAACAUAUUUAUUUAAGAAAAUACAGGACUGUCUUUUUUAUACAUAUAGCAUGAUUAUAUGACAAUUGCUGCAUUGCAUACUUGAUAAAUCUAUAAAAGGGCCAUGUCAUCACAUCCAAAAAGACUCCAAAUAAACCACAAAAUAAGCCGGCAGCAUAAAACUAUGUGUAACAAUUUGCUACCACACUGAAAAUCAUAGGCAGCACUUUGUACAGCAUAAAACUACAUGUAAAAAACUGCUACCCCCGCUGAAAACUAUAGGCAGCACUUUCUGGCAGCACAAAAUUACAUGUAAAAAAACUGCUACCACACUGAAAACUAUAGGUAGGGGGCGCUGACUUGCCAGCCAAUUUCACUCGGACAGGGGGUGGGGGGCGCCGGCGGUGGUGCUGGCCUAGGGGCGCCACAUCGGCUAGGGCCGGUAGUGCUCAUCCGCCUCCCUGAAAUACACAUAUAGAAGGUGGAAUGUCUGCGUUUUACUCUGCGGCAGCUCCUGCAGUCAGCACAACAUUAUCUGAGGGUUCAGCUCUUUGGAGUGAGUAAGAUGCCCCGGGAUGCCACCAUCUCGCCGCUCUGCAGCGUGUAGGCAGAGCUGUGAAGGAAAGCAAGUCGGGACAUAGAUGUCCUCUGCGAGACACGGGCCGCGCCGAGGAAGACGCAUAUCAGCCAUGCUUUCUGUUCCUACAAACGUGUCAUCAAGAGAAGACAACAGUUAAGCUAUUCUGAUUGUGUUAGAUUAGGGAGGUUGUUUGAGUCUGUAACGUUUUAUUUUUUUUUAAUUAAACAGGCGUUAGGUCGUUCUUGCUUCUCUAUCCUUUUAUGAAAAAGACUAAUCCUUCAGCAGUAUGUGAUUCCGACUAAACUGUGGCAUUGAAUGAUAAUUGAAUAAUAAUAUGUGGCACAUAUGUAACUCAUACUUAGGGAGCAGGGUGGAAGGUUGUGAGAAGCACUCUGGUGAAUCAAAAAUGCAUAUAAUAUAUAAUAUGCCUUUAAUAAUAUAAUUGUGAAUUUAGGCUGGCUGCGUGUACAUCAUUAAUGUGAUUUAUUUAUUGCCCUGUGCGUGAGUUUAUAGUAACGCAACAUACAAACAGUUUUUUUUUGUUUGAUUGUUGAAAUCUUAAAUAAAAGAUUAUUGUCUUUGCA